UUGCCUUAAACUAAGGAGUAAGGAAAACAAAGCGAACUGGUGGGAGCCGGUCGUAGCAUCUAACAACAUGAUGCAAUUAUUUUUGGAGGGGUGAUAGGCUGGCCAUGUGUUGACGCUGCUUACUUUUGCAGAACUCACACAUGCAGGCCUCCCUUACCC
rfam:Medicago truncatula strain A17 chromosome 4, whole genome shotgun sequence.